AGCUCCAAUAGCGUAUAUUAAAGUUGUUGCAGUUAAAAAGCUCGUAGUUGAAUUUCUGAAUUGGAUGUCCGGUCCGCUUGUGUUAAUCACGAGUGUGAACUUGUGAUAUUCGAUUCAUUAUUUGUGAGGAAAUUUAUCUGUCAUUAAGUUGAUGGAUUUAUGGACUUGCAUCAUUUACUGUGAAAAAAUUAGAGUGUUUAAAGCAGGCGUUUGCUCUUGAAUACAUUAGCAUGGAAUAAUAAAAUAUGACUUUGGUGGUCUAUUUUGUUGGUUUGCACACCAGAGUAAUGAUUAAUAGGGACAGUUGGGGGUAUUCAUAUUUCAGCGUCAGAGGUGAAAUUCUUGGAUCGCUGAAAGAUGAGCUUAGGCGAAAGCAUUUACCAAGGAUGUUUUCAUUAAU
rnacentral:rRNA from 1 species